rnacentral:rRNA from 1 species
GAGUUUGAUUCUGGCUCAGGAUGAACGCUGGCGGCGUGCCUAACACAUGCAAGUCGAACGGAGCUUGAGGGAAGAAGACUUCGGUCAACGGACCAAAAAGCUUAGUGGCGGAUGGGUGAGUAACACGUGAGCAACCUGCCUUGUACAGUGGAAUAACAACGGGAAACCGUUGCUAAUACCGCAUGACAUACCGAAUGGGCAUCCAAAUGGUAUCAAAGGAGCAAUCCGGUACAAGAUGGGCUCGCGUCCGAUUAGAUAGUUGGAGAGGUAACGGCUCCCCAAGUCGACGAUCGGUAGCCGGACUGAGAGGUUGAACGGCCACAUUGGGACUGAGACACGGCCCAGACUCCUACGGGAGGCAGCAGUGGGGAAUAUUGGGCAAUGGGCGCAAGCCUGACCCAGCAACGCCGCGUGAAGGAUGAAGGUCUUCGGAUUGUAAACUUCUUUGGUCAGGGACGAAAGAGAUGA